AACCGUGGUAAUUCUAGAGCUAAUACAUGCUAAAAACCUCAACUUCGGAAGGGGUGUAUUUAUUAGAUAAAAAACCAAUGCCCUUUGGGCUCCUUGGUGAUUCAUAAUAACUCAACGAAUCGCAUGGCCUUGCGCCGGCGAUGGUUCAUUCAAAUUUCUGCCCUAUCAACUUUCGAUGGUAGGAUAGUGGCCUACCAUGGUCUUAACGGGUAACGGGGAAUUAGGGUUCUAUUCCGGAGAGGGAGCCUGAGAAACGGCUACCACAUCCAAGGAAGGCAGCAGGCGCGCAAAUUACCCAAUCCCAAUUCGGGGAGGUAGUGACAAUAAAUACUGAUACGGGGCUCUUUCGGGUCUCGUAAUCGGAAUGAGUACAAUCUAAAUCCCUUAACGAGGAACAAUUGGAGGGCAAGUCUGGUGCCAGCAGCCGCGGUAAUUCCAGCUCCAAUAGCGUAUAUUAAAGUUGUUGCCGUUAAAAAGCUCGUAGUUGAACCUUGGACCUGGCUGAUCUGUCCUCCUAAUCGAGCGCACGGAUUCGGUCGGGUCUUUCCUUCUGGGGAACCCGAUGCCCUUCACUGGGUGUCGUGGGGAACCAGGACUUUUACCUUGAAAAAAUUAGAGUGUUCAAAGCAGGCCUUUGCUCGAAUACAUUAGCAUGGAAUAAUAGAAUAGGACAUCGGUUCUAUUUUGUUGGUUUCUAGGACCGCUGUAAUGAUUAAUAGGGAUAGUCGGGGGCGUCAGUAUUCAAUUGUCAGAGGUGAAAUUCUUGGAUUUAUUGAAGACUAACUACUGCGAAAGCAUUCGCCAAGGAUGUUUUCAUUAAUCAGUGAACGAAAGUUAGGGGAUCGAAGACGAUCAGAUACCGUCGUAGUCUUAACCAUAAACUAUGCCGACUAGGGAUCGGACGGUGGUUUUUUUAUGCCCCGUUCGGCACCUUACGAGAAAUCAAAG
rnacentral:rRNA from 1 species